CAGUCGCCGCGGGAAUACAUAGGGUGCAAGCGUUAAUCGGAAUUAUUGGGCGUAAAGCGAGUGCAGACGGUUACUUAAGCCAGAUGUGAAAUCCCCAAGCUUAACUUGGGACGUGCAUUUGAAACUGGGUGACUAGAGUGUGUCAGAGGGAGGUAGAAUUCCACAUGUAGCGGUGGAAUGCGUAGAGAUGUGGAGGAAUACCGAUGGCGAAGGCAGCCUCCUGGGAUAACACUGACGUUGAGGCUCGAAAGCGUGGGGAGCAAACAGGAUUAGAUACCCGCGUAGUCCCUGUCUCUUAUAC
rnacentral:rRNA from 1 species